GCUGCCUUUAACCAGUGCACAGCACUUUAACUUUAGGACAAGGCUGACACACAGGACUAAUAUAAAGAACUGACUCCCUCCACUAAAGCUGCUAAUCUCACAACCUGUACAAUAUAGAGGAACAGUUGGGUCUGGUGUAGUUAGAUGUGCUCUUUUAUCCAUUAUGCUAAUGGUGACAAUUCAGUGCUUAUUCAUUUCAGAG